rnacentral:lncRNA from 1 species
AUUCUCUCCAGGAGAUGCAUCUUGGGGGCCAGCACUGUGAGUGCCCUUCUCUGUCUUUUCUGCCUCUAGUGCCAGCCUUGCCACACCCCGCCUUCCCCACAGAGGUGGCAGCUUUAGUUUUGUACCACUCUCUCCUUUCUCGGGUCCAGUUUCCUCUUUAAAAUGAAAUGAGCUCAUUGCCAGGCUGUCCUCAUCUGCUGGAAUGUCCUUCCAUAGUCACCCAUCAGUCCUGAUUCAUUUUCACAGUCUUUUGUGACCUACUUUGUGCCUGGUCCUCUGUCCUAAGCUUAGUAUACAAGUUUUAUGAACAAAACACAUGAGGUUCCUGUCCUCAGUAUGGUGACAAUCUAGUGGAGGAGAGAAAGAUAUGUACAAAUGUGUAUCUAAUUAACGGUAUGAUUAGGCUCUGAAGAAAGAAUACGUUGGGCUUUGAGAAAGAAUAGCUGAUGGGUGUAAUUUAGGGCAGGAUUCCACCCCCACCCCAACUCUAGUGAGCUGAAAUCUGUCAUAGGGAAAGGCCAUCACUUCCAAUCCAUCCUGUUUGAUUUUAUCAGUUCCUGAAUCUACACGGAGCCAAGGUCCCCUCUCAGAGUGCCAGUGUCCAUUCCAGAGAACUCCUAACUGAAUAGCCCUCUUUGAACAUAGUGAGGAAGGAUCCAGCCUUCAUUCUGACUCCUAGAACAUCUUCAGACCCCUUUUCCUCUGCCUAGGACCUUGGUGUUAGAACUGACAGAUGUCCCUUAGGAGCAGGGUAUGAAAGCCAGGACAACUUUGGGAUAUGAGAUCCCUUCAGUUCUGAGACCUCUUUAUCCAGCCUGGCAUUUGGCAUGAUAAAUAGUUGUUGAUUGAAAGAAUGAUUCUAGGAGCCUGUGAGUCUACCUUUUAGUGAGCCCAAGAGCCAAUGAUUCUAUGGUUCAUGGUCUGAUUAUUCCUUUUCCUCCUUUCUGCCUGGUUCUCACCCUGUUCAGUUGUCACCUCCUCUCAACCUUCUCUACCAUCCUUGUCCCCAAGCCUGGAGUUAGAGCUUGUCCCCAGAACUCUUCCCCUCCCACCCUUGUAUUAGGGAUUGAACCUAGGGGUGCUCUACCACUGAGAUACACCCCCAGCCAUUUUAAUUGUUUUUUGUUUUUCCAUUUUGAGACUAUCUCCCUAAGUUGCUGAUGGUCUCACUAGAUUGCUGAGGCUGGCCUCAAACAUACAACCCUCCUAUCUCAACCUCCAGAGUUGCUGGGAUUACAGGUGUGCAUCACCACACCUGGCAACUUUUCCUGCUUAAUUGUGAAGCAUUAUUAUUAUUAUUAUUAUUAUUAUUAUUAUUAUUAUUAUUUUGCCUAUUGCUCCACCUCUUUCAUUAGACUGGGUGCUCCUGAGGGCAGGAGCUGAAUCUGAUGCAUCACUCUGUACCAGUCACACACUGCAAGGCCUCCAAAGAUGUGUUGCAUUGCCUAAAGAUGAGUGGAGUUAAUGUUACUCAGAAGUAUGACCCUUCACAGAAUAAUAAUGAUUUCUGGUUCUCUGUGUGUUGGGGGAGAGGGAGUGGGAACAGCAGCAUCCAGGGCGGGGACCGGGACCCUGAGCCCCCAUGUUGCAUGAUAACCUGAGGGGAGAGAGAGGGGUCCUUUAUUCAGACUCUGUGCAUCUUCAUCCUGGAGACAAAAGGAGCUUGGUGGAGUGGCCCUGUGAAGGAGCAGGCCAGAGAGCAGCCUCUCUGCCAUCCUCACGGCCUGGUGCAGCUGCUGUCUGUGGAGUAGGCCUGGGCUCUCCAGAGCUUGAGGAGAGG